CCCCUCAACGAUGAAGAGAUGGUCGGCUACAUCAUGAACGGGUUGGACGCUGAGUUCAAUCCCGUGACAUCUGCUCUUAUUACAAGAGUAGAACCAAUCACCAUGUCUGAGCUGUUCUCUCAACUAUUAAAUUUUGAGA